rnacentral:tRNA from 1 species
GGUAAGAUGGCUGAGAAUUAAGCGGCGGAUUGUAGCUCCGUGUAUAAAGGUCAGAGUCCUUUUCUUAUCA